CUGGAAGGCAGCAGCCAUUGGCCAGUCUGGUUAUCAUGUCG
rnacentral:SRP_RNA from 1 species